GUGAUCGUACCAGCAAUGAAUAAGUUAAAAUGUGAGUUUAUUUACCUUUUCUUCCUUACUGUACUGGUCUCCUUAGUGAAGCGCUACCUCUUUGACUGAGAUAAUUGAGAACAAAUAUCUCAGUCAAUCAAAUGCUUUUCAUAGAAAAGCAUUGGAAGGUUAGUGUACAUGCACAGCAAAAGUUAGGCACUGUACCAAUCAGAUGGUUUCUCUGAGAUCAUCUGAUUUAAUUGAAGCACCUCUAGGGGCUGUCAGAAUGUCAGAAUGGCAAUGAACACUUAAUUGAGAUGAAG